rnacentral:rRNA from 2 species
GACCGCGACCCCAGGUCAGGCGGGACUACCCGCUGAGUUUAAGC